UUUUUCGAGAGUUUGAUCCUGGGCCAGGAUGAACGCUGGUACAUGUGUGCUUAUAAUACAUGCAUGUCGAGCGGAGUUCUUUUAGGACUUAGCGGCGAAUGGGUGAGUAACACGUACUUAACAUGCUUAUCUUAGAUUGGGACAACGAUGAGAAAUUAUCGCUAAUACCGGAUACUUAUAUAGUUUGCAUAAACUAUAUAUAAAAGGAGCUUUACAACUUCACUAAGAGAUUGGGGUGCGGAACAUUAGCUAGUUGGUAGGGUAAAGAGUACCACCAAGGCGAUGAUGUUUAGCGGGGUUGAGAGACUGAACCAUGCACUGGGACUGAGAUACGGUUUGACUCCUACGGGAGGCGACAGUAGGGAAUUUUCCACAAUGGACGAAAGUCUGAUGGAGCGACACAGCGUGCAGGAUGAAGGCCUUCGGGUUGUAAACUGCUGUUAUAAGGGAAGAAAAAACAAUAGAGGAAAUGCUAUUGUCUUGACGGUACCUUGUCAGAAAGCAACGGUAACUAUGUCUUAAGCAGUACUGCGGUAAUACAUAGGUUGCAAGCGUUAUCCGGAAUUAUUGGGCGUAAAGCGUCUGUAGGUUGUAUGUUAAGUCUGGCGUGAAAACUUGGGGGAACUCAACCCCAAAUUGCGUUGGAUACUGGCAUACUAGAAUUGUGUAGAGGUUAGCGGAAUUCCUAGUGAAGCGGUGAAAUGCGUAGAUAUUAGGAAGAACAUCAACAUGGCGAAGGCGGCUAACUGGGCGCAUAUUGACACUGAGAGACGAAAGCGUGGGGAGCAAACAGGAUUAGAUACCCUGGUAGUCCACGCUGUAAACGAUGAUGAUUAGCUGAUAGUAGAACUAUCAGCGCAGCUAACGCAUUAAAUCAUCCGCCCGAGUAGUAUGCUCGCAAGAGUGAAACUUAAAGGAAUUGACGGGGAUCCGCACAAGCGGUGGAGCAUGUGGUUUAAUUUGAAGAUACGCGUAGAACCUUACCCACUCUUGACAUCUUCUGCAAAGCUAUAGAGAUAUAGUGGAGGCUUAACAGAAUGACAGAUGGUGCAUGGUUGUCGUCAGCUCGUGUCGUGAGAUGUUCGGUUAAGUCCUGCAACGAGCGCAACCCUUGUCCUUAGUUAAAUUUUUAAGGAGACUGCCGAGUAAUUGGGAGGAAGGUGGGGACGACGUCAAAUCAUCAUGCUUAUCUCUUACGAGUGGGGGCGACACACGUGCUACAAUGGACGGUACAAAGAGAAGCAAAAUGGUGACAUCAAGCAAAUCUCAAAAAACCGUUCUCAGUUCGGAUUGUAGUCUGCAACUCGACUACAUGAAGUCGGAAUCGCUAGUAAUCGUAGAUCAGCUAUGCUACGGUGAAUACGUUCUCGGGUCUUGUACACACCGCCCGUCACACCAUGGGAGCUGGUAAUGCCGAAGUCGGUUUUGUUAACUACGGAGACAACUCGCUUACAAGCAGGACCGGUGACUGGGGUGAAGUCGUAACAAGGUAUCCCUACGAGAACGUGGGGAUGGAUUACCUCCUUU
rnacentral:rRNA from 1 species